rnacentral:rRNA from 1 species
UACGGAGGGUGCUAGCGUUGUUCGGAAUCACUGGGCGUAAAGCGCGUGUAGGCGGUCCGUUAAGUCUGAUGUGAAAGCCCGGGGCUCACCCCCCGGAAGUGCAUUGGAAACUGACGAACUCGAGUCCCGGAGAGGAGGGUGGAAUUCCUGGUGUAGCGGUGAAAAUGCGUAGAUAUCAGGAGGAACACCGGUGGCGAAGGCGGCCCUCUGGACGGUGACUGACGCUGAGACGCGAAAGCGUGGGGAGCAAACAGG